GUCUUUCUUACUUGUCAUUCCUUGGCCUGAGGGUUGUGGAAAGCAACAAGUGGCGCCCAACGUGGGGCCUGACAUAAAGACAUUUUUCCUCCUCGCCAAGGAACACGGGAACGUUGUUCAAGACUCUCCAGUCCAAGGCCCUAUGCUUUGACAAGAUGAGGAAGGAGUGUCAUCAGCUGGAUAUCCAGAGCCAGAACUUCAGAGUCGGGAUCCAGGAGGCAGCAUCACCAACCUGGGAACAACUGAAAAAGAUGACAGAAGAAGCUGAACGAAUUGUCCAACAUUCGGGCCAGAAACUUACCCCUUCCACUUUAUUUUUGGCAAUGCUGGCCAUGGUAUCUUGCCAGUCUUCUGCUGCUGGAGACAGAAACUCCGAACAAUGAAAAAACAACAAAGUGGCAUAGGGCCUUGGACUGGAGAGUCUUGAACGAUUUUUUUUGUCUUAAAGAGACAAAAAAAGGGGGAAAUGAAGGGCCUGUCCCAGGCUGACUGUCCCUGACUGUGGGCCGGUUCUGAGCUGACUGUCCCUGGCGGUGAGAUUAUCUUCUGCUCUGGAACAUCCUGCGCUUGCAAAGGAGCCAGGAUGCUGACCAAGUAGCCAACGAAAAGUCAAGACAGCUUACAGGCAAGCAUGAGACUGCCUCCAAGCAGAGGGUUACUUGCUGAUACGGAGCAGGAACUUGGCAACAGGCUCCCUGGGAAUGGGAGCCUGGAGGAUGGGCAGUUGAGACAAUAAAUAAGGAGUCCAAUUUGACUGGGCAGGAGAUGCUGCAUCGA